rnacentral:piRNA from 1 species
UGCUGAUGGAUGCUCACUAUUAAACACUGA